rnacentral:rRNA from 1 species
UACGUAGGGUGCGAGCGUUAAUCGGAAUUACUGGGCGUAAAGCGUGCGCAGGCGGUUCGUUGUGUCGGUGGUGAAAACCCCCGGCUUAACCGGGGGCCGGCCGUGGAAACUGUCGGGCUGGAGGCUGGGAGAGGGCAGCGGAAUUCCCGGUGUAGCGGUGAAAUGCGUAGAGAUCGGGAGGAACACCGGCGGCGAAGGCGGCUGCCUGGACCAGUCCUGACGCUGAGGCGCGAAAGCUAGGGGAGCCGAAACAGG